rnacentral:rRNA from 1 species
UACGGAGGGGGCUAGCGUUGUUCGGAAUUACUUGGCGUAAAGCGUACGUAGGCGGCUUUGUAAGUUAGAGGUGAAAGCCCGGGGCUCAACUCCGGAAUUGCCUUUAAGACUGCAUCGCUUGAAUCAUGGAGAGGUGAGUGGAAUUCCGAGUGUAGAGGUGAAAUUCGUAGAUAUUCGGAAGAACACCAGUGGCGAAGGCGACUCACUGGACAUGUAUUGACGCUGAGGUACGAAAGCGUGGGGAGCAAACAGG